AUACGUAGGGGGCGAGCGUUGUCCGGAAUUACUGGGCGUAAAGGGUGCGUAGGCGGUUGAUUCAGUUGGAUGUGAAAUACCCGGGCUUAACUUGGGGGGUGCAUCCAAUACUGGUUAACUAGAGUGCAGGAGAGGGAAGCGGAAUUCCUAGUGUAGCGGUGAAAUGCGUAGAUAUUAGGAGGAACACCAGUGGCGAAGGCGGCUUUCUGGACUGUAACUGACGCUGAGGCACGAAAGCGUGGGGAGCAAACAGGAUUAGAUACCCUGGUAGUCCACGCUGUAAACGAUGAAUACUAGGUGUAGGGGGUAUCAACUCCCUCUGUGCCGCAGCAAACGCAAUAAGUAUUCCGCCUGGGGAGUACGGCCGCAAGGUUGAAACUCAAAUGAAUUGACGGGG
rnacentral:rRNA from 1 species